UACGUAUGGUGCAAGCGUUAUCCGGAUUUACUGGGUGUAAAGGGAGCGUAGACGGCAUGGCAAGUCUGAUGUGAAAAUCCGGGGCUCAACCCCGGAACUGCAUUGGAAACUGUCAGGCUUGAGUGCAGGAGGGGCAAGUGGAAUUCCUAGUGUAGCGGUGAAAUGCGUAGAUAUUAGGAGGAACACCAGUGGCGAAGGCGACUUGCUGGACUGUAACUGACGUUGAGGCGCGAAAGCGUGGGGAGCAAACAGG
rnacentral:rRNA from 1 species